rnacentral:lncRNA from 1 species
GCUUGAUGUAGUUUCCCUAGACAUGUCUUUUUUUCUGGAGACGGAGUUUUGCUCUUGUCGCCCAGGCUGGAGUGCAGUGGUGUGAUCUCGGCUCACUGCAACCUCCGCCUCCCGGGUUCAAGCGAUUGUCCUGCCUCAGCCUCCUGAGUAGCUGGGAUUACAUGCGUGCACCACCAUGCCCGGCUAAUUUUGUAGUUUUAGUAGAGAUGGUGUUUCACCAUGUCGGUCAGGCUGGCCUCGAACUCCUGCCCUCAGAUGGUCCGCCCGCCUUGGCUUCCCAAAGUGCUGGGAUUACAGGCGUGAGCCACCACGCCUGGCUCCCUAGACAUAUCUUGAUGGCCAAAUAUAAGGCAGCAAGGAGGGCUGCUCAAAUCUAGCUUCCCUUUUCCACCCACUGCCGUCUGAGAGAAGAAGGUCAGGAGUGGACACAAGUAUCCCUGGUGCCUGGGAGAAGCAGACUAACCGGACCAGCAAGGAAGAAGACCACUUUCUGAAAAUGACCAUCCUUUGUCAAGAAACAAACACCCGCUUUUCCUCAUUCAGUGAUGUGAAUGAACAAAAUGUCAGGUUAGUUUGUUAGUAGGUGGGUUUUGAAAUGCCAUUUUCUGCUACCUCAUCUUUGUCCAAAUGUAAACCCAAGGACCUUGAGCAUUCAUUCAUUACCAGAGGCUUGAGAUGUCUUUGCCAUUUCUGCUCAUCCAGGAUCCAAGUCCUGGUAUCAGAUUCAUUUCCAUUGCUUUGUGAUUGUUCCCUGACAAUCCCAAUGGAUGCUAGCUGGUUCAGUCCUAAGCCAUUGAAUCUACCCCAAUUUGAAGAUAAGGCCGGGAGCUGUGGCUCACGCCUGUAAUCCCUGCACUCUGGGAGGAUGAGGUGGGUGGAUCACUUGAGGUCAGGAGUUCGAGACCAGCCUGGCCAACAUGGCGAAACUCCAUCUCUACUAAAAAUACAAAAAUUAGCCAGGUGUGGUGGCGUGCGCCUGUAGCUCCAGCUUUUGGGAGGCUGAGGCAGAAGAAUUGCUUGAAUCUGGGAGGCAGAGCUCACAGAGAGCCGAGAUCAUGCCACUGCACUCCAGCUGGGCAACAGAGUGAGACUCCAUCUCAAAAAAUUAAAAAAAAAAGAUAGUAUGGAAUCUGUCUGGGAUUUAUUGACUUUCUGCAGGUAGAUGAGUCAAAGAAGAGGCUGUGAUACCUGUAAGAAGACCUGCAGAGGCAACUUAAGAUAAGCUAGCUGUCCCCGAAAGGUGGAUUUGAAAAAACUCAACCUCGUCUACAUCAUAUGACAGUAGAUGUGUUUACCAAAAGACAAAUGCAAAAUGAAUUCUGAAAAAUCAAAUAAAACUAAAGCACAAAGGAUACCUUUGCAGCAAAGAUUCCUCAUGAAUGUGAUUGCUCUACUUUGUAUGUACGUAAUUUUGUUUGUCAAACUUUAUCAAGCAAUGCAUACUAAAAGUGUAUACUUAGAGUAUACUAUAAACUCUAACAGUCAAUUUCUAUAUGUUGGAAGAAAUGUGUCAACAUAAAU